rnacentral:rRNA from 1 species
CAGCAGCCGCGGUAAUACGUAGGGUGCGAGCGUUAAUCGGAAUUACUGGGCGUAAAGCGUGCGCAGGCGGCUUUGCAAGACAGAUGUGAAAUCCCAGGGUUCAACCUGGGAACUGCAUUUGUGACUGCAAGGCUAGAGUACGGUAGAGGGGGAUGGAAUUCCGCGUGUAGCAGUGAAAUGCGUAGAUAUGCGGAGGAACACCAAUGGCGAGGGCAAUCCCCUGGACCUGUACUGACGCUCAUGCACGAAAGCGUGGGGAGCAAACAGGAUUAGAUACCCCAGUAGUCCCUGUCUCUUAUAU